rnacentral:rRNA from 1 species
UGAACGCUGGCGGCAUGCCUUACACAUGCAAGUCGAACGGUAACGCGGGGCAACCUGGCGACGAGUGGCGAACGGGUGAGUAAUACAUCGGAACGUGCCCAGUAGUGGGGGAUAGCCCGGCGAAAGCCGGAUUAAUACCGCAUACGACCUACGGGUGAAAGGGGGGAUCGCAAGACCUCUCGCUAUUGGAGCGGCCGAUGUCAGAUUAGGUAGUUGGUGGGGUAAAAGCCCACCAAGCCAACGAUCUGUAGCUGGUCUGAGAGGACGACCAGCCACACUGGGACUGAGACACGGCCCAGACUCCUACGGGAGGCAGCAGUGGGGAAUUUUGGACAAUGGGCGCAAGCCUGAUCCAGCCAUGCCGCGUGCGGGAAG